rnacentral:rRNA from 1 species
AGAAUGAACGUUGGCGGCGUGGAUUAGGCAUGCAAGUCGGACGCCCCGCGAGGGGCGUGGCGCAAGGGUGAGUAAGGCGACGGCAACCAACCCCAUGGUCGGGCAUAGCCGCGGGAAACCGCGGGUAAUUCCCGGCGACGUCCGGACGGGACAUCCCGACCGGACCAAAGGUGCGACUCCGCCGUGGGACGGGCCGUCGUGGUAUCAGCUUGUUGGCGGGGUAACGGCCCACCAAGGCGUUGACGCCUACCGGGCUGCGAGCGUGGCCCGGCACACUGGGACGGAGACACUGCCCAGACUCCUACGGGAGGCUGCAGUCGAGAAUCUUCGGCAAUGGGCGGAAGCCUGACCGAGCGACGCCGCGUGGAGGACGAAGGCCUUCGGGUUGUAAACUCCUGUCGAGGGGACAAGACGCCGUGCAGAGCGGCGUUUGAGUGAUCCCGUGGAGGAAGCGACGGGCUAAGUUCGUGCCGAGCAGCCGC